GAUGAACGCUGGCGGCGUGCCUAAUACAUGCAAGUCGAGCGAACGGACGAGAAGCUUGCUUUUCUGAUGUUAGCGGCGGACGGGUGAGUAACACGUGGAUAACCUACCUAUAAGACUGGGAUAACUUCGGGAAACCGGAGCUAAUACCGGAUAAUAUUUUGAACCGCAUGGUUCAAAAGUGAAAGAAGGUCUUGCUGUCACUUAUAGAUGGAUCCGCGCUGCAUUAGCUAGUUGGUAAGGUAACGGCUUACCAAGGCAACGAUGCAUAGCCGACCUGAGAGGGUGAUCGGCCACACUGGAACUGAGACACGGUCCAGACUCCUACGGGAGGCAGCAGUAGGGAAUCUUCCGCGAUGGGCGAAAGCCUGACGGAGCAACACCGCGUGAGUGAUGAAGGUCUUCGGAUCGUAAAACUCUGUUAUUAGGGAAGAACAUAUGUGUAAGUAACUGUGCACAUCUUGACGGUACCUAAUCAGAAAGCCACGGCUAACUACGUG
rnacentral:rRNA from 1 species